rnacentral:rRNA from 1 species
CUACGGGCGGCUGCAGUGGGGAAUAUUGCGCAAUGGGCGAAAGCCUGACGCAGCAACGCCGCGUGGGUGAUGAAGGUCUUCGGAUUGUAAAACCCUGUCGUUAGGGACGAAGACUACCGGUCUAAUAUAUUGGUAGUUUGACGGUACCUAGAAAGGAAGCCCCAGCUAACUCUGUGCCAGCAGCCGCGGUAAUACAGUGGGGGCAAGCGUUAUUCGGAAUUAUUGGGCGUAAAGAGCGCGUAGGCGGUAUUUUAAGUGAGAUGUGUAAUCCCUGAGCUUAACUUGGGAACUGCAUCUCAUACUGGAAUGCUAGAGUACCGGAGAGGGUGGUAGAAUUCCACGUGUAGCGGUGAAAUGCGUAGAGAUGUGGAGGAAUACCGGUGGCGAAGGCGGCCACCUGGACGGUAACUGACGCUAAGGUGCGAAAGUGUGGGUAGCAAACAGGAUUAGAUACCCUUGUAGUC